rnacentral:lncRNA from 1 species
AUUGCACCGUGGUUUAUUGCACCGUGACAUGGCAUGCAUGCUCUGUUUUGCACCGUGACGUUUUGCACUGUGACAUGGUGCAUUUUGAUUUAUUGCACUGUGACGUGGUGCACCGUGGUUUAUUGCACCGUGAUUUAUUGCACUGCGAUAUGCCAUGCAUGCUCUGUUUUGCGCCGUGACGUGUUGCACUGUGAUGUGAUGCACCAUGACGUGUUGCACCGUGAUUUAUUGCGCCGUGAUUUAUUGCACUGUUAUUUAUUGCGCCGUGACAUGCCAUGCAUGCUCUGUUUUGCACCGUGAUGUGUUGCACCGUGACAUGGUGCACCAUGAUUUAUUGCACUGUGACGUGGUGCACUAUGUGUUGCACCAUGAUGCACCGUGAUCUAUUGCACUGUGAUGUGCCAUGCAUGCUCUUUCAUUUUGCACCGUGACGUGUUGCACUGUGAUUUAUUGCACCAUGAUUUAUUGUACCAGGACAUGCCAUGUUCUGUUGUGUUGCACCGUGAUGUGUUGCACCGUGACGUGCUGUGCUCUGUUGUUUUGCACCGUGAUUUAUUGCACUGAUUUAUUGCACCAUGCCAUGCAUGCUCUGUCAUUUUGCACCAUGACGUGUUGCACUUUGACAUGCCAUGCAUGCUCUGUUGUUUUGCACUGUGAUGUGUUGCACCGUGCUGUGCCGUUCUGUGUUAUCUUGCACCAUGAUGUUUUGCGCUGUCCCGUGCCGUGCUAUCUCGUGUUGCAUCCUGUAUCACACCAGGCCAUGUUGCAUCAUGCUGUGCCAUGCUCUGCUGUGUUGCACUGUGCUGUGUUGCACUGUGCUGUGUUGCAGCUUGUACCAUGUUCUGUUGUGUUGCGCCAUGACAUAUUGCACCGUGCUGUGUUGCACCGUGCCGUGUUGCACUGCAUCAUCUUGCACCAUAUCGUCUUGCACUGUCCUGUGCCAUGCCAUGCCAUGUUGCAUCGUGCCACCUUCCACCAUGCCAUGUUGCACCAUGUCAUGCCACAUUGCACCACAUCAUACCACGUUGCACUGCGUCAUGCUGUGGUGCACCAUGUCAUGCAACAUUGCACCACAUCAUGCCACGUUGCACCGUGUUGUGCCACGUUGCACCGUGCCAUGCCAUGUUGCACCAUGUCAUGCUAUGUUGCACCGCAUCAUGCCACAUUGCACAUUGUGCCAUGCCAUGUUGCACCGUGUCGUGCUGUGUUGCACCAUGCCAUGCAACACUGCACCGCAUCAUGCCAUGUUGCACCAUGUCAUGCCAUGUUGCACCAUGUCAUGCUGUGUUGCACCAUGCCAUGCAACAUUGCACCACAUCGUGCCACAUUGCACCGUGCCAUGCCAUGUUGCACCAUGUCGUGCUAUGUUGCACCACAUCGUGCCACAUUGCACCGUGCCAUGCCAUGUUGCACCAUGUCGUGCUGUGUUGCACCAUGCCAUGCAACAUUGCACCACAUCGUGCCACGUUGCACCAUGCCAUGCCAUGUUGCACCGUGUUGUGUUGUGUUGCACCUUGUCAUGCUACCUUGCACCAUGUCAUGCCACAUUGCACCACAUCAUGCCCCGUUGCACCGCGUCGUGCCACCUUGCACCGUGCCACCUCGCACCACGCCGCAUUGCUCCGUGUUGUCCCACCGUGCACCACCCCACGUCACCCUGUG